CCCUUAGAUGUCCUGGGCCGCACGCGCGUUACACUGAUGCAUUCAACGAGCUUAUAACCUUGGCCGAGAGGCCCGGGCAAUCUUGUUAACGUGCAUCGUGAUAGGGAUAGAUUAUUGAAAUUAUUAAUCUUGAACGAGGAGUUCCUAGUAAACGCAGAUCAUCAAUCUGCAUUGAUUACGUCCCUGCCCUUUGUACACACCGCCCGUCGCACCUACCGAUUGGAUGGUCCGGUGAAGCCUCGGGAUUGUGGUUCUUGCCGCUUUAUUGUGGCGUGACCGCGAGAACUUGUCUAAACCUUAUCAUCUAGAGGAAGGUGAAGUCGUAACA
rnacentral:rRNA from 1 species